AGACUCAAAUCUAUAUAAUAGAACCUAGAUCUACUAACAAAAGGGACACCAAAAAAAGAAGACCAAAAAAGAAGGCCUACAAUCUGAAGAAAAAUCAUCCGCCUGAAUACACAUAAAAAUCCCUUCAGAGCUUCGGCCGUUUGGGUAUAGGGAAGACUUCCCCCCUGAUUUCUUAUCUCCGGCAAACACCACCACAACGACCCCCGCUGAAAACAAACAUGAACAGAGAAAUCGAAACCAAAAAUAAUUGAUAACAAAAGUAGUUUGCUGCUUCCUCUUCUCAAUUUGAAUUUUCGUUAUGACGUUAUGGAGUUUGAUUGAGUUAUAAUUGCAUUCGAGUUCGAGCGAGGCAGCCCGGUCACGGAUUCGAUGAGCUUCCGUCGAGGUUCGAUUUAUGAUCGUAGUUCUUUGUUUUUGGUUUGAGAUCUGUCCGGCGUCUGUUGGUUCAAGCUUCAGCUGUUUUUGAAUGUGAGGUUGUAACACUUGCUAGAUUUCUGUCUCGUGUAUCACUGAAUAUUUCAUCAAUCAAAAGUUCGAUUUUCAGUUUCCAUAGUUGCUGAAGUUCUAUUAAUUGAAAAGCAAUUUCUGUUCUUAAAUUUCAUUUUUGCUGCUGGGAUUUGCUGAUUUGGGUCCAUUUUGGAGCUCGCUAGUGAGAUCUGUUCGUAAUUGGGUAUUGAAGUGUCGAGAUCAUCAAGUGAGCUUUGUUGGCGUAGCGUGGUUCAAUUGUGGUUGCUCCACGACGAGUCGAAGCUUUGGAGAUACAUUGUCCAACAUAGUCGUAGAUGUCUGUUCGUUUCAUCUAUGCGACGUUACAGUAACGAUGUGAAUCCACGGUUUGAGACUUGGACUUUUAAAGUCGAUUUAUACUGUUCGUUACUUUGCAACAAGAACGGCUCAUGCUUGCUUCCAGGUUCGUUUUGCACCUUCAUGGUAAAUUAUUGCAUUGACAUGACAAACAUAUCGUGUAUUAAGAGAAUUCCCAGCCGAAUUAAUUGCUAUAUGGUUUCAUGUUGUCUUGUGUCUGUUAAAACGUGAUCGAAUAAUGUGACAUAGUUUCUCCAGCAAAAAACAAGGUGUUAGUAAUUCUCAUAAAUGUUCCUUGCAAAUUCGUUGAUAUCGUUGGCAAGUUUAUGGUUUGAAGUUGUUCUGUUGCUUUUCGAUUGCCAAUACAUUCCGUUGCUUUUCAAAUUGAUUGCUUUUUAAUUCAUUUGUUUGAAUAAGGUGGUUUGAUUACUCUUGUUUCUGAUGGGUCCGUAGAUUAUUGGAGACGAGCCAUAGUAGAUAACAAGUAGUUUUUUUUUUGUUUAAAUACCUUUAAAUAAUAAAUCAGAUGAGCCUCGCUAAACAAAACACACAAAUUGCGGGCCAUCAAUAAAGGUUUUAAAAAUAUUUAAAAAAUCGGGAAGGGCCGUUUAGCGAAUUUCACGGACCUCCCAAAAGAUAAUAACGCACUAGACUCUAUUAGACGCGACUUUAAUAAAUUACAUUACUAAAUACGAGUGAGCAUUUUAUGUGGCCCAAAUCAAAUCCUAAAACGUUGAAUAGAGUGUGCCUAGGAUUGCAGGUUCAUUUGAUGCGGCGUAAUCCGAAAACACACUUUAAACGCCGUUCACUUUCUCUUAAAUAAAUAUUAUAUUAAUAAAAGCAGUUAAAGAUAAAAUUGGCACAUAGGCGUUUCAUGUAUUAAAAUCAGAUUUUAGCCAUUCAUGACAAUUUAAGCGACGUGCUAGAACCACGGGAUCCGAGGAUGCCUAAUACCUUCCCUCGGGUCAACAGAAUUCCUUAUUCAGAAUUUCUAGUUCGCAGACUCCAAUUGGGAAGUCGAACAUUUUCCUCGGAUUGGGAUUCAAGCUAAACUGGUGACUUGGGACACCAAAAUCCAAACCUUUCCCAAGUGGCGACUCUGGAUAAAUAAAUAACCCCGAUCCGAAUAAUGUCACUUUAAAUAGAAACUCCUUUAUGCAUUAUCCUCCGGGGUAGGUGUGUAAAAAGGAGGUGUGAUAGUAGCCUCAUGCAAAAAUGCAGUAUGGAGACAAAGCUUAGUCUCGAAAGGCAGAUAAUAGCCUUAUGCAAUGCAGGAAUGUAAAAUAGCGAAUAGUAGUAGGUUACUAGCUGAUAGAUAGUUUGCGAGAUUAGGACUACUGGGGAGUGCAGAUAGUGACCCUAUGAGGGUUUCCAUCCUAAAGAUCGAAUGUGCUUUGAUCCGUAACCUGAAUUCCUGCAUCCAAAAAAAAUCAUGAGUUCUCUAGGGGAGGGAGGUUAGUUCGUAUCCUUCAGCUGGCGCCAUGUACCAUGGGGGUAGCAUUGCUAAGUGAUGGUGGUGCAAAUGAUAUUUAUGCAUGACUUAGUAAAUAUAAUGCAAGUACGUAUAUAUGAAAGAAAAAAUGAUUUCAUUUUGGAUGAACCAACGACUAUAACGUGGUUCAAGACGCGAAAACCUCGCUUGUUCCGGAAUUUUGAGGGUCCUCCUCAAAAUUCUGCCCCAGUUUAGUGGGCUGGUGCUGCUGACGGAUGUGCUGAACAUCGAACGAGGAUUAAUUCCAGAAUUUUGAGGAUCCUUCUCAAAAUUCCGCCCCAGUUUACUGAGUCGGAGUUGAUGAAAAGACUGUCAAAUGACUAUGAAAUUUUGAGGGUCCUCCUCAAUAUUCUGCCCUAGGGGGGGAAAUGAGAUUUUUAUUAAAAUGUGACCAAUCCCAUAGGGCUGCCUACGUAUCCCCUCUUGAACAGAAAUCAUGCCAGGCGUAGUUCAGAUUACAUCACAAAAGGAAAGCAUAUGAUCAAAUGUAGUAUUUUUUCAUUCUGUCUGAGUUGAUAGGCUUCGACCAUACUUCUCCGUCCAUUUCUGCAAGAAUGAGGUCUCUUCCAGUUAGAUCCGAUGGACCAUGUACGGACCGUGCCAAUUGGGAGAGAAUUGCCCUUUGACUUCAUCUUGAGGGGGAAAUAUUUUCUUUAUUACCAACUGUCCUGGCGUGAAUUUCCUUGUCUUGACUCUCUUGUUGAAGGCUUUGGACAUUCUGUUCUAAUAUAAUUGACCAUGACAGACAUCAUUCAUUCUCUUUCCGUCUAUGAGGGCUAACUACUCGUAGCGACUCUUAACCCAUUCUGCAUCCUCUAAUUCUGCUUCUUGUAUUUGCCUUAGGGAGGGGAUUUCUACCUCGGCGAGAAUGACCACCUCUAUGCCAUAAACCAACAUGUAAGGAGUGGCCUCGGUUGAUGUGCGGACCGUGGUAAGACAACCCAGUAAAGCGAAUGAAAACUUCUCAUGCCACUGUUUGUGCUUUUCAAUUAUCUUAGUAUCUUCUUGAUGUUCUUAUUGUCUGCUUCUACAGCUCCAUUCAUUCGAGGUUUGCAAGCCGUAGAGUUCUUGUGACUAAUUUUGAAUGUUUCGCACAUUGCCUUCAUCAGGUCGCUGUUGAGAUAAGAACCAUUGUCGAUGAUGAUUGAUUCAGGAACCGCGAACCAACAAACCAUAUGAUCUCGGACGAAAUCUGCUACUACUUUCUUCGUGACUGCCUUGUAUGAUGUUGCUUCAACCCAUUUGGUAAAGUAAUCAAUUGCUACUAGGAUGAACCUGUGCCCAUUUGACGCGGUUGGUUCAAUUGGCCCAAUGACAUCCAUUCCCCAAGCAGCGAACGUCCAUUGUGAGCUUGUUGCAGUAAGCUCGUUCGGAGGCACCUUUUAUCAUAUCUGCAUGUAUUUGACAACGGUGGCAUUUUCCGGACGUACUGAAUGCAGUCAGUUUCUAUAGUCAUCCAAAAAUACUCUGCUCGGAGUAUCUUUUUUGCCAAGACAAAACCAUUCAUAUGCGUUCCACAAGUCCCUGCGUGCACUUCCUCCAAUAGCCUGGUUGCUUCUUUUUCCUCGACACAUCUUAAUAAUCCCAAAUAAGGAGUCCUCAUAUACAGGAUUCCUCCGUUGUAAAAGAAAUUGUUGGACAAUCUCAGAAGUGUUCAUUUCUGAGUAGCAUUGGCGAGCUCUGGGUACUCUCCUGUUGUCAAGUAUCCUCUGAUAUCAUGGAACUAAGGUUUCCUAUUGGCUUCAUCCUCGACGUGAGCACAAUAAUCUGGUUGGUCGUGAAUAUUGACCUGGAUGAGAUCAAUGAAGUUUGUAUCUGGAUGCUGGAUCAUAGAUGAUAAAGUGGCUAAGGCAUCAGCGAACUCAUUCUGUGUUCUGGGAACAUGCCGGAAUUCCAUCUUUCUGAAUCUUUUCCUCAACUCCGAUACAUGGUGCAGAUAGGGGAGUAUCUUGGAAUUUUUGGUUGCCCAUUCUUCUCGAACCUGAUGUAUGUGUAGGUCCGAGUCUUCGAUCACUAGUAGUUCCUGAAUGUUCAUGUCAAUGGCCACCUUGAGCCCUAAGAUGCAUGCUUCGUACUCGUCCAUAUUGUUGGUGCACGGGAAUCUGAGCUUGGCAGAUACUGGGUAAUGCUGACCGGUUUCUGAUACCAAAAUUACUCCUAUUCCGACUCUUUUAAAAUUUGCGGCUCCGUCGAAAAACAUCCUCCAACCGUCAUAGGAUUCUGCAAUGUGUUCUCCUAUGAAGGCUAUCUCUUCAUCAGGAAAAUACGUCUUUAGGGGUUUGUAUUCUCCUCCUAUAGGAUUCUCGGCGAGCUGAUCUGCCAAGGCUUGUCCUUUGACCGCCUUCUGGGUAACAUAAACGAUGUCAAAUUCACUUAACAGUAUCUUCCACUUGGAGAGCUUGCCUGUAGGCAUGGACUUCUGAAAGAUAUACUUCAACGGGUACAUCGUGGAUAUGAGAUGAGUGGUGUAAGCACAAAAUUAGUGCCUCAAUUUAUGAGCUACCCAGGUUAAAGCACAAUAAGUGCGUUCUAACAAGGAAUACCGAGCCUCGUACGGGGUAAACUUCUUGCUGAGGUAGUAGAUGGACUGCUCUUUUCUUCCUGUUUCGUCAUGUUGUCCCAAAACACAACCAAAUGUCUCAUCCAAUACUGCAAGAUAAAGUAAUAGAGGUCUCCCUGGCUCAGGUGGAACCAAAACUAGGGGCGUUGACAAAUAUUCCUUGAUUCUGUUGAAGGCCUUUUGACAAUCAUCAGUCCACUUAGGGGCAACCUCUUUCUUUAGAAUCUUGAGGUUGAGUUCACAAAUGACAUUGGACCGAGUUAUUAAUCGGCUGAUAUAGUUGAGCCUCCCCAGAAAACUCAUUAAAUCUUUCUUGUUCUUUGGCGGUGGCAACUCUUGAAUGGCUUUGACCUUUGACAGGUCCAACUCUAUUCCUCGGUGACUCACAAUGAAACCCAAUAAUUUUCUAGCGGGAACCCUGAAUGCACACUUGGUGGGAUUCAGUUUCAAGUUGUAUCUCCUCAGUCUGUUGAAGAAUUUUCUCAAAUUUCCCGUGUGAUCUACAGCUUUCCUGGAUUUAAUGAUGAUGUCAUCCACAUACACCUCGAUCACAUUGUGUAUCAUAUCAUGAAAGUUUGUGGUCAUGGCUCUCAUGUAGGUAGCACCAGCAUUGUUCAAAUCGAAUGGCAUCAUUCUGUAACAGUACAUUCCACACGGCGUGAUGAGUUCCUUUUUCUCUGCAUCCUGUUCUUCCAUCCAUAUCUGUUGGUAUCCAGCAAAACAAUCGACGAACGAGUGCAGCUCAUGUUUGGCGCAGUUAUCGAUCAAUAUGUGUGUAUUUGGAAAAAGGGAAGUCGUUUUUAGGACUGACCUAAUUAAGAUCUCGGUAGUCGACACAGACUCUAACCUUUCCAUCCUUCUUUGGCACUGGCACAACGUUGGCUAACCAUGUUGGAUACUCCACUACCUUGAGAAACCUGGCUUUGACUUGCUUGGUGACUUCUUCUUUGAUCUUCAAACUUAUGUCUGGUUUGAACUUUCCGAGUUUCUGUUUGACUGAUGGGCAUGCCAUAUCCGUCAGCAGUUUGUGAGCCACAAUGGAUGUGCUGAGACCGGUCAUAUCUUCAUACGACCAAGAGAAUAUAUCCUCAUAUUCUUUCAAAAACUCUAUGUAUUCUUCUUUUUCUGAUGGUGACAAGUGUACGCUGAUACGUGUUUCCUUGAUAUUUUUUGCGUCCCCCAAAUUAAUGACCUCAGUUUCAUCUAAGUUAGACUUAGGUCUGUUCUCAAAAUUCUCGAUCUCUCUAACAACCUCUUCUGGUAUUUCAUCAUCUUCUGAAUCUAUGUCCGUUUGUCGUACUGUCUCGUUGAAAGUUAAAGUCGUUGGUUCAUCAUCAAGAUAUGUAAUAGUAAUGCUGUCUAAAAUAAAGUAAAUGGUAGAGAAAAUAAAUGAGAGCGAAAUAUAAAGAUAAACUUGAAAAUGCUUUUAAUUAGAUUCAUAAUUGUCUGAAACAUCGGAGCUCUUUUCAAAAUUAAAGACAAUGCUGAAAAGUAAAAUCAACUAAAAGUAAAGUGUUAUGUAUAUGUGUCAUUUAGCCUUGCUACCCCGAGGCUCUCCGGACACAGGUGGUCCUGAUUGACCAAUUGGUGAGGUGUUCUCCCCAGUUUACAGCUUGAAUGCAAGGGCCUUCCUCCUCUCCCUCAUCGAAGAUAACACAACAAUCUAUAUCAUCCUCCAGAAACAGGUUCUUCAUUGCUGCCAGUGUCUCAUCCUCCUCUGAUCCGUAUGUGACAUCCGCUGGUUGAAAAGUCUACUCUAACUAAGGUAGAGGGUGCUCCAGUGUGUAGUAGGGAUUGCGCCAUGGUGGCGACCAGUCGUUGAACUCCUCCCAAGUGUAUUCAUAACCUAGGCCAAAAGUAGUUCCAUGCUUCUUGAACUGGACAUGCUUGGUGAUGCCCUGGAGAUUCUUGCCAAGCCCCUUUCUGGGCUUGUAUCAACUCCAACUCAGAAUGCUUUCAAUUUUGUUAUCCCACCACUUGUCUUUGUCUAUGGCAUUGACUCGCUCGAUAUGAUGGUAUGUUUCUCCACCGAUUUUCCUUCAAUUAUCGAUCAUCGGUAUGGCCUGGCAACUAUAUAGGGUUGCUACCGUCGCCAUGGAUGAUUACUUUUUGUAUUUGUCUUUGGUGUUGGCUCGCUCGAUGUGAUGGUAUGUUUCUCCACCGAUUUUCCUUCUACCUCCGAUCAUCUGGAUGACCUGGCGACUAUAAAUAGGGUUUCAACCAUCGCCAUGGAUGAUUACUUCCUGAUGAUUCCAUUCAAAUUUUACAGCUUGAUGCAAAGUUGACGCCACAACCCCAGCAGUAUGGAUCCAGGGUCAUCUAUCAACAAAUUGUAGGAUGCUGGUAUAUCAAUGACUUGGAACUCAACGUCGAACCAGGUGGGUCCCAUCUGCAGUCAUAAGCUAAUUUCUCCAAUGGUAGAUCUCUGAGAUCCAUCAAAAGCUUUGACAUUGAUAUCCCCGUCUCUGAUCUCGUGCAAUCCCUUACCGAAUGUCCUGAGAGUUACCAACGGACAAAUGUUGAGGCUAGACCCCCCGUCGACUAGAAUCCUGGUGAUAAAGUGAUCCUCGCGUUGUGCGGUGAUGUGCAGCACUUUGUUGUGACCCAGCCCUGCUGGUGGUAAUUCAACUUCGUGAAAGGUGAGCUUAUGGCUUUCCAGUACCUGUCCUACCAUGUUUGCCAUUUCGCCUCCUGUUAUGUUGCUGGGAACAUAAGCUUUACUAAGUAUUUUCAUUAAGGCAUUUUUAUUAACCUUGGAGCUUUGUAGGAGAGACAGAAUAGAAAUCUGUGCCGGCGUCUUGUUCAGGUGCUCGGCGACCGAGUACUCUUUGGCCUGUACCUUUCUCCAGAGGUCAUCGAGUCUAGUUUCAAUGGCCCGCCCGGAGGCCUGCUUGGUGGACUUAACCAAGUGUUCCGGAGUGUACACCCUGCCUGUCCUGGUCAUGCCAUGUGUGACAAUUGUUUUUACAGUAUAUGUCUUUCCCUUACUUCUAGCCUCAGCGGUGUAAUCCCAAGGUAUAACAUUUGUUUGGAACGGGGUUAGGUCUGUCAUGGAGACUGAGAUUGGUGCCUUGGGAGACAACACAGUAACUACAAAUGGUGUAGGUGACUUUGGAACCCCAAACUCAACCUCAAUUGGUUUUGGCGCCUUUGCAAGAGGUGCUUCAAACUCGAGUGGUAUGGAUACAUUUACCACAUCGCCUUCAGAGGGCAGAAUCUCGACAACAAUGGGAUUGAGAGUAACCGUUGGCAUUUUAGGAUCGUCUCCUUCAGCUAUCAAACCGAUUGACCCCUUGGGUUCCCAAUUAUCUUCAAUCUCGAUCAUGUGGAUGCCUCCACCCUUGUGGUCAAACAAAGGGAUGUUGCAGACAUUAAGAUGGGUUCCUUUGCUAUAAUAAUCUUGUUGUCAAUUAGAUUCUGAAUUUUGUCUUUUAACGAGCGACACUGAUCAAUGGUAUGGCCUUUCAUCCCGAAAUGGUAUGCGCAAGUCUUGUUUGUAUUGAUCCACUGGGAAGGGUUUUCUGGAGUUACGGCUGGGAUAGGGGUAACAUAACCAGCAACCUUGAGUUUUUCAUAUAAUUGGUCAAUUGGAUCGGCUAUGGCGGUAUAUUGUCUAGGAGGUUUAUGGUCGAAGGUUGGUCUAGAUCGAGGGAAAUUUUGGCGGGUAGGCGGUGAUGGGUAGUGAUAAGGUUGGGAGUUAUAUGCUUGGUAUACGGGUGCGGGUUUGGUAUAUCUGGGUGAAGUAGGUUGAUAUGUAGGUGGUGGAGGUGAUUGGUAAGUAAGUGGUGGAAUUUGGUAAGUAGGUGAUGGUGCUUGGUAAUUUAGGGUUGGCUGAUACGUGAGUAAAGCUGAGGGAUAGGUAUGGUAUUUCAUGGGGAAGUUGUUCCUUUGCGCAGCCAUUACUGAAUUUACAUCCUUUUUCUUUGACGAGCUACCAGACUGCAAAGCUUUUUUGGUAGCUUUCAAUGCCUCGAGGUUAGUGAGCAUACCGUUUUUAUGCCUUCUUCGAUCCUUUCUCCCAACUUGAUGGUGUCAGAGAACUUUUGACCCUCAAUUAGCAUCAGUCUCUCAUAGUACUGUGGAAUUUCAGCACGGACAAAGAACCUAUUCAUUUGCUCUUCCUCCAAGGCCGAUCUGACCUUAGAAGCUCCUGACCUUCAACGAGUAGCAUACUCGCGAAAAGGUCUCUAUGGGCUUCUUCUUGAAAUUCUAGAUAUAGAACACAUCUGGUGUGUUCUUAGUGUUGAACCUAAACCGAUCCACUUUCUUUAGCAGCUCCCAAAGACAUUUCCUCUCAGAUAACCUAUGUUUGAGGCCUUGGACGAUAAAGUUAGACGCUAUGUUUACCCAACUAGUCGAUUUAUUCGCAUCCUGGCUAAUAUACCAGGAUAAAGCAUCACACUUCAAACUCCUCAUGAAUAGCUUCAUGCGGACCUUUUCGUCCCUCCCGACUCCUACCAACUUGUCACAAUACAUUCUCAAGUGGACCUGGGGUCACCUGUGCCAUCGAAUAAUUCGAACUUGGGAGGUUUGUACCCCUCCGGGUGUUCAACAUCUGGUUGAACACAGAGAUCUUUGUAAUUUAGUCCUUCAACACCUUUGUUACCUUCGAAGCCUCGGACACAGCUAGUCAACUUCUUGAUCUUAGCGGCCAAAUUCUGAAUGAGGGAACUCUUGUCCUCUGCCUCGACUGCACUAGUGAUAGACUGACUGUAAUGCGGCAUAGUGUCCACAAAGAUGCAUAAAGCAUAAACUGCCUCGAGCCCAAAUACAAGUGUUCAACAUUCAGGGAUUUAAAAUCAGGAACUAAGAAUCAUACUGCAAUAUAUGAUAGUGAAAUAUUGAAUCAAACUGAAUUACAUGAUACUGGAAUACUGAAUAGGACUAGACUGAGACAUGUAUUCUUGAACUGAAUAUAAACACUGAAACUUCAACUAUUUGUGGCAUACUGAGUAAUCUAUACAAAGACUCAGUGGCAUCAAACACAAGUCUAUAUUGAAUAUGCACUAAGCUCACGAUGAUAAGAAUAAAAAUCAUUAGGAGUUUAGAAGCUAGAGAAUAAAAGUUCUACAACUAUUCAAGGAAACUAGGCUUAACAAUAUUUCUGAAGCAAUUGGUAACGUUAUAAAAGAAUCGUCGUGUAGGGAGAAUCAUUAAAAUUCCAAACAUAGAGAGUUAUCCUCACAUACCUUAACUUCCUUCUCUUGAGCAUAAUACAACAUUCGUCAACCCUUUCAACUUUAAUAUAUAUCAAUACGAUCCAAAGGGAUUCCAAAUUAGCAACAAUAUCCAUGUUUUGGUCACUUAGGCAUUUUACCAAACACUUGGUGAGUAUGAAGCUUCAUAAUCCCUAUUAAUGAUGUUUCUACAACCACUAACCGAUUCUCUUUCUCUUAGAUAAAUUCUAAAGUCUCAAAUGAUUAUAAUCAAUAUUAUUCUUUAUCACCCAUAAGGUAAACAACAUCAUUAACCAAUAAAGUUCCAUUAAAUAAGGUAAACACAUCAUUAACCAAUAAAGUUCCAUUAAAUAAACAUCUUUUAAUCUCUAUAAUAAUUGUGUAAUUAAAUUGGGAACAUAUGGUUUCCAAUCACCAUACCAAGAGUUCCAAUACUUAUUCAUACUCAUACUCCAUUACUAAUUCCAUACAUGAAAGUCUAAGGGUGCAGGAUUACCUUUUUGGAAGAAAUCUUGCGAAACCCUCCUUUGAGUUCUUGAAGAAAUUCCUUGAAUUAAGUGUUUUAUGUGUAGAUUUCAUCAAUACUAGUGUAUAAAUGAUAGAAUUCACACCAAAACAAUGGGGAUUGAUUACUUUAAAUAUGGUAGGGGUUGGAGGUCUUGAAAGGGUGGAGGGAAAUCCUAAAAUUUGUCCAAAUAAAGUGGGAAACAAAAACCCCGAAGGUUUUAUAUCAAAUUAGGGUCGAGUUGACAAAAAACGAAGAUUUUCACAGCGCGGCGCAUGGGUUGACGCAUAGGGCAGAGUAGUAAUGAAAAUGUAUUUAGAAACAAAAUUUGGAGGUGCUCUAAUAAUUUACAUAGCUGCGCCGCAUGGGGCGGCACGGUAGUGUAAAAUUCUGAGCUGCUUUUGGUAAUUUGAUCAUAACUUCUGGUAGGAGUGUCCAAAUGACGAACGGUUUAAAGCGUUAGAAACUAGACUGAAUGAUAUUUCACUUUAUAGGUUGUGAAUCACAUAAUACCUUAUAUAAAUGUAUAUAUGCUCGUCCAAAUUAUAGUCUUGUGCGUGCUCAUCUAGAAUUUUAGUCUAUCAUGUAUUUCCAACUUGGCUUAGAUUUAGGUCUUUCGUUGGACCCCAAAUAACUUAUGAUAUGCCUCUUACGCUUCUAUCAUAAACAAUUAAUAAUCAUCACAUUACUACUCAUUUAGUGUAUCCACAACUGAUUCAAAUUUAGGGGGUGUUACAUUGUCUCCCCCUUGCGAUCAUUCGUCCUCGAAUGAUUGUCGUGGCUGCAGCUUUGGCUAACUCCGGACCUUAAAUGGGUCUGGUGGGAACAUGAACUUUCAUUAACACUUGAUUACAAAACUGAAUGAAUACACGAUUACUGAACUGAUGAGGUACUAGACUGAAUGGCUACUAAACUGACUAAUUACUGAAAUACAUGGAGAUUGUAAUAUAAGGCCUAAAUGAGAAUGUUAGAUACCUUCGACAUUUCUCCAAAAUACUUACCAACUCACAGAGCAUAAAACUAUCUCCAUAGGUCAUAAUAAUACGCGUAACAUGAUACAUAUACAUCUCACUUGUCUGUUAUGAAUACGUGAAUUCUGAAGUAACGUGGAUAUAUGAAUAUUGAAUUGGCACGAAUAAUCGAGUAUUGAACUGAUGUGAAUAUCUAAUCAGUGAACUGACAUUAAUAUCUGGGUAUUAAGCUUGUAUGAAUAUCCAAGUACUGGACUGACAUGAGUAUCUGAGUACUGAACUGGCUUGAAUGUUCUAACAUUAGAUCUGAAUAUUGUUGAUACCCAAUUUUUUCCUAUUUAUUUUUCAUACUCAAAACACUUUCAAAAUAGCAUAUGUAUGCAUAAAUAAGCAUGCCUUAAUGUUUUGGUAUCUUUUCCUCAAGUUUUAAGACUUUCUAAAUCAAUUUACUCCCUAUUUUAACAAGUACAAGAUCCAAAAUUAUUUCCAAAUUAUUAUUUUUUGGUAAAUAAUGAAUUUAACUCCCGUAUUUACAGUAAAAUAUAAUUAAUAUAAUUUUUACAUAUUUUUACAAAUUUGUUCGAAAUUUUUAAAGCUUAAUUGCAUGAAAUUAUAAUUAUAGCCUAUUUAAUAAUUAUCCGUGUUUUAUAAUUAUUAUAUUGUUCCUAAUAUUUUUAGAUUAUUUUUAUAUAUUAUUAAUCAGUUCAGUAUUUGUAAUUUAUUUUUAAAUUAUUCUUAACUUUUUUUUUAUUAUUUUACUAAAUAAAAUGGGGAAAAGUGGCUGUCUAAAACCUGGCCUUAUUUCUUUCCAAUUUUAGCCUCAAUUACGCCCCAAUUCAAACCCCAACUAAACGACCCAAUUAGAAAUUUUAACACGCCCCAAACCUUAUCAAUUAAACCCGCCGGCUCCCAUUUCAAUCUUGGUCGUUGAUCACGCGACCCCUAACCCUAAAUCAUUUUCUCCAAAACAGCCACCUCUAAACUCUCUCUUCUUAUGAAUCUCUCUCUAACCCUCUCCGAAACCCUAGCCCUACCCCGCCAGUUUCCACCUUAUUUCACUGGAAUCAAUGGCCUCCUAAGUUUGGGGUGGCCUGUACUCACCCCCAUGCGCCUUCAUGCCCUUGUCCCUUGAAGACCAUGGCUCAGAUAUCCUCCGAUUCUAGUUCUGCAGCCAUGUCCGACUCAAAUCCGGCGUAUCCUAGCCCUGUGAGUCCAUCUCUAACUCGUUUGACUCGGAUCAGCCCCCUUUCCAGGCCUUUCUUGUUUCUAGGGUACCUCUGAACCCCUCUUCCAUUUUGUCGUUUCUUAUUUCUCUCUAGAUCUGCUCCAAAUUCGUGCUAUUCUUAAGGUUUUCAAAUGACUUCCUACAUAUUGUUCAAAACUUUGCUUUCAAAAACUGUUCAUCUUCUCUGACUUAGGGUUUCCUUGAUUUUACUUGUUCUACUGUGAUUUUUAUGUGGUGUUCUUACUGUAUUUGUCCUACUGUGACUCUUAUUUGUUUCUACUUUGACUCCUAUGUGUUUUCUUCUACUAUGUUGCCUCCUAAUGUUUCCUUCUGUUUUUCUUUUACUGUGUUUUCCGUCAUUAUAUUUUCAGGGAACGAUUAAAUUCCUUUGGAUUUUCUUAGUUUGCUCUUGCCUGAUUUGCUUGUUUCCAUCCCUAGACUGGACUAAUGACGAAAACCUUAGAAUUUGGGGAUUUUCGGACCACUUGUAUGUGACUUGCAUGUUCUCACCUCUGAACUAGUUUGAUUUCAAUUUCUGAAGUCAUCUCUGUUUUUCAUAUGGUUCUGACCUAUUGCCAAAAAACUCUUCUACACUAGAUUUUCCUACUUAUUCUUUACAAUGACACUAUAGUCUUCUUUCAUGUUUGACGUUUUCGUAUGCUCCUUAUAUACUAUGAAUUUCCCCCUAACUGGUUUUUCAAUUUUGAUUAGUUGAAAAUUUCUUCUGAAUAUAACUUGAUUGAUUUCUUUCCAUUUGUUUUUGCCCGUGACUCGAGCUAAGUAAAACCCCUUUUUUUCAGACUUGAAUCAUUCGUAUAAAGUCUUAGACCUUUUGGUUUACUGUUUGUUAAUUGGUCUUCUUACCUUAUUUGCACAAACUGUGUAUUUCAAAACUUGUCCUUAAAUAACUUUUAUGUAUUUACCCUUAUUUGUAUAGUAUGCACUAUGUUAUUUAUUUGAUCCCCUUUUCUUAAAUAUUUCCUAUCCUUUACUGAUAAAACUGGGAUUCCUUAAUUAAAGGAACCUCUGUUAAUUGAUUGGUCCUAAUUGGUACUGGACUAUUUGCUUUCCUUGCCCGCUCGCCUGACUUCAAGUAUAAAUACAUGCUUCUCGUUUGACACAAGACACACACUCGAUACACAAACACCUCUGUCUUUGAAAUCUGUUACCACUUGCUCUACUAUUACUUUCUCUACUACUACUGAGCACUCUGCUCCUUUCUCGCUUAUUGUCUGAACAUUCUGGAGUUCCUCUGAACUCCCAAUUGCUUGCUGAAGUUUUGAGUUCCUGAUUAACUUUCUGGCUGUCUACUUGCUGUUGUUUCUCCGCUACACUACAAUUGCAACUGGUAUGUUUGUUUUUUGGUUAAACAACACCAUCCUUCUAUGUGUUUACUUCUCCUUUGCUACACAUAUUUCACUAUGUGUUUAUUUAUGCUCCCCUGCACUAUGUAACUACAUUCAAGGCCGUUGUGCUCUUUCAUUAUGUUUUGCAUCUUCAGUCUGCUAUGCUUCCUUAAUAUCCUGUGUAUACUGCUAAUCCCUUCCCUCCAUUCCCCUUUGUAUGCGAGUUCUGUCCUGAAUUAUGACAGCACCUUAUAUUGCUGUCCAUGACUCAGAACUAGAUUCUCUUGAAUCUCUACUUAAAUCCUUUCCCAUUCCCUCUCCCCUUUAUGUGUUGAGCUUUAACUAGGGUCUGGUGGUGUCCUAAUCACCAUUUAGACCUAAGUUUGACUCUCAAGAGUCUGCUCCUAUUUGUUUGAACCUAAGCAGGGGGUUAGGUGUGUGCCAGCCUAUGCCAUGGCUGGGUAUGACCACCCUCUGCUAUGGCUCCCUCUCUCACAUUGCAGUUAUUCCUAGUUUCCUAAGUUCUGCCCUCAUUGGUAAGCCAUGCUUUGGGACCCCGAAGUUCCCUCUAAAAUUGGAUGCCUGAGGGCUGGCACUUCUACACUGCAUUAUUUUGUUACAACAAUUAUCAUUUAGAGUGUAAGCAUUGCGUGGGGUCCUGAAGGUUCAUUGGAACUUUGAAACACUCUGAAUAAGAGGAACCCGGAAUUCAGAUUUGGUGAAACACAUGUUAUAUGAUAUCAAGAUUGAAUUAGGCUGAUCAGAUCUAGCUAUAGGCUGUGAUCUAUUUUUUGUUUACCUUCUUUCUUCUGAUUUUGUAAUAACCUUGUAAAACAAACUCGGGAAAGCGUGGGAGGGGUUUACUUUAUUGCUAAAGGGUAGAUACCAUGCUUAUUGGACCAACAUUAUUUUUUAAUCACUUAGAUAUCAUGCCUAUAGGUUCAACGCUUUAAAUAACCUAGAGAUCAUGUCUAUAGGCUUUUUCAUUCUUUUCAAUCAUUUCGAAAUCAUGUCAAUAGAAUUUAAUGUUUAACCGUGCUCCAAAUGAGUAGAUAUCCUGUCUAUAGGAUCUAAUAAUCAAACAAGUGAUUGCACAUAAAAAUCCUGCCUAUACGAAAUACAGAAACGCCUAGGGAACUAUAGGGUAAUCAAAUACUCAUUUUGAAACCCGUCUAAUAACAGUAACGAGUCCUCAAAAGCCAAGGUAUAGCUAUCCUGCUUAUAGGGGUUCAAACUCUCCUAAUAUGUGUUUAAUGAUCUGACAGUUGGACUUAAACGUUUUUAACAAAAACUUGUCCAAACCUGUUUGCUUUUUUUUUUCCGUCCAAACUUGUUUGUUUUCAGAACUCUUAUAAAUACGCUUUUAAUUCCUUUCAAACUUGCAUUUUUAUUCUAAAUAACGUCUUUCAACUUUCUGCCUGAAUUUCCCUUCUACUUUUGAAGCUGUCUUCCGAAUCAGAGUUUCAACUAUUUCUUUUAAAGUAUCUGCACUCUUUAUACUCUUUUACAAUUCCCCUAUCAAAGAAAUCUUUAACAGUCUGUUUCUUUUAGAACGUCUCACUUUCGAAAACUCUUCUUUACACUUCCACUGUAUUUUUAGUUAAUCAAUUCUCCGAACUUUCUACAAUUUUCAAGUUUCUAUCUUCAAUUCUUCUGCAUUAGGUUCUUAAUCAGUAACUUGUGUAAAAUACCUAAACUUUUGACAAUUGGAUCCGGGUUGCCUAAUGUAGACUUUUUAUCCAACUCUAUGUAUUGAACCAAUUUGUCCGCUGUUUCAAUUUUUUAAGACCAAUUUACGGGGUCUUAUAUGAGCCUUUUGUGUGUUUGUUUCAGUCCCUAUUCAUCUUUUAUUUGUUUUGAUUAACACCCUAGUAUUUUAUCCUUUUGAAACACCAUAUAUGCCUACUUCCUCCCCUUCCCCUUAGGAUUAGAAGUCCUAAAUACCCCGAGACUGAUAGGUUGGGGCGUGUAUUAGCAUGCAAUAAGUACGCGAGACUAAUUGCGUUUAAUACCUUAACGGGGUGGAAAGGGAAGAAUAUGUAUAUGAUGACCAGUGUGCUAAUAUCUCGUGUGAGAGUGAUUGCUGUGUAUUGUACCGAUGUGAUCCAUAUUAUAUUUAAACCUAGGACCCCUUUUCCCUUUUUUACUUGUAUAAUGUUUUACUUAAAUUUAUGUUCCAAUUAAUCAUUCUCUUUUAAAAUCACUUAUGUCCUUCCUCUUCUUUUCUAAAAUUUCAAGUUUUUGUUUGUAACUGCAAUAUGCAAACUCUAUGUGUUUUCUUUUACUCUUCUUAAAGUCACAAUUAAGCAUGGCCAGGAACCACACUAGUGGAUCUUGAGGAGUGCCUAACACCUUCCCCUCGAGAUAAUCUUUAGCCCUUACGCGAACUCUGGUUUUCUUUCAAUUCUUCUUCUUUUCUUUGAAAGUGUCCUAGUGCACUAUAAUCAUUAGGUGGCGACUCUUCAAAUCUCAUAACCCAAUUCAUCAAAAGGGAAUAAGAUUUGUUUUGUCCAUAAUGUCAUAAACCCAAUUUCACUUUAGAAAAAUAGGGGCGUCGACAACAUGGCGACUCUGCUGGGGAAUUUCUUUAUGCUUUUACCAUUACAUGCUUUUGUGACUUUAUUGCUUCCUUAAUCGCUUUUAUUUCUUGCAUUCAACUAUUUCAUCAUGAUUACUGACUUGGCUCUUAUGUGUUUCCUUUCUUUUAAUUUCUUUCUUUUCUUCCUUAUCAUUAUUUUGAUUCCGUUGUAAUUUUCGAGCAUUUAUUGUAAUCUGUACUUUAUGAACGUGAAAAUACAUGCUAUAUGCUUUAUUCUUGUAACGGCAUUCUUCAACAUCAUACUCCACUCGUGCCAAAACAAAUACUAUAUCAACACUUAUAAUGAGUGGUUCCGCCCUUUCGAUAUUAUAACCCCGUAAAUGUGGCAAAGGCAUAUUUGCGAUAAAACUAGUCGAUCAACGAUGUAGUCGACGGUUUCGCGCCUUUCCCUCUUGAGUUGUCCGCUCAAGGGUACCUUGUCUAGCACUUCAAAAGUAGAAACCUUAUUGGAUUUAAAAUGUUCAUGCAUCUGGUCAACCCUAGCUGAGUCAGUUAUGCUUUCCGCAUAAUGACUCAUUAAGAUAUCCUAGUCCAAAUUCCAUCGGGUUUCCUCGAAACCCAAAUGGACACCCCCAUGUUAUGUGCAUUUACUUGGAGAAAUAAAUUCCUUUAUUUCUAAUUAUUGAUUUAAAUAGUCGAGUCUGGUGGGAUUGAAGGCCAAACGCUUUGUUUUGCAGAAAAUGAGGCACGAAGUCCCCAGAUUCGGCAAAGUAGAAACCUUAUUCCGUUAAACUGUUCAUGCAUCAUGGUCAAACUUAGCCGAGCCAGUUGUGUUGUUCGCAUAAUGACUCAUUAAGAUAGCCUAAACCAAAGUCCAUCGGGUUUCCGAAACCCAAACGGACACUUCCACAUUAUGUGCAUUUCUUUGGAGAACUAAAUGUCUUUAUUGCUAAUUAUUGAUUUACAUAGUUGACUAUGGUGGGGGUUAAGGCCUAACACUUUGUUUUGCAGAAAAUGAGGCACGAAGUCCUCAGAUUCAGUAUGGUAUCUAACAUUCAUCCAAGGUUUCUAAGCUGGUGGGAGGAUCUUCAUGCCAGCGAUCAGACCCUCGUCUGCAAAUGCUUAGGGAACCUUCCUUCACUUCAGGAAGUUAAGCAUGACAAUCAUUGAAGUUGCUGUGAGCACGCGAUUUUUGCCUCACAUGAAUUACUCUCACAAAAAUCAAAACAAAAAUUGUCUGUUUUAUUAUGUGCAUUUCGAGAAUUUUUCGUGAUAUUUU
rnacentral:lncRNA from 1 species